GUCGCGAUCUGAUAGGUAUCUAUCCGGACCAUGCAUCUGGAAAGCGCCGGUUCGAUUCCGGCUCGUGACA
rfam:Triticum aestivum genome assembly, contig: Triticum_aestivum_CS42_TGACv1_scaffold_495163_6AS